GAUGAACGCUAGCUACAGGCUUAACACAUGCAAGUCGAGGGGUAACGAGAGGAAAGCUUGCUUUCCUUGUCGACGACCGGCGCACGGGUGAGUAACGCGGAUCCAACCUGCCCCCAACUAGGGAAUAACCUUGCGAAAGUAAGACUAAUACCCUAUACUUUCCUCAGAUGACAUCUGACGAGUAAUAAAGAUUUAUCGGUUGUGGAUGGGGAUGCGUCUGAUUAGCUUGUUGGCGGGGUAACGGCCCACCAAGGCAACGAUCAGUAGGGGUUCUGCGAGGAAGGUCCCCCACAUUGGAACUGAGACACGGUCCAAACUCCUACGGGAGGCAGCAGUGAGGAAUAUUGGUCAAUGGGCGGAAGCCUGAACCAGCCAAGUAGCGUGCAGGAUGACGGCCCUAUGGGUUGUAAACUGCUUUUAUACAGGAAUAAAGUUAGCCACGUGUGGUUAUUUGUAGGUACUGUAUGAAUAAGGACCGGCUAAUUCCGUGCCAGCCGCCGCCGUAA
rnacentral:rRNA from 1 species